rnacentral:rRNA from 1 species
GGCCCCUUCGGGGGUACUCGAGCGGCGAACGGGUGAGUAACACGUGAGUAACCUGCCCCAGGCUCUGGGAUAACCCUCGGAAACGGGGGCUAAUACCGGAUAUGACCUGCUGCCGCAUGGUGGUGGGUAGAAAGGUAUUUUUCCGGCCUGGGAUGGGCUCGCGGCCUAUCAGCUUGUUGGUGGGGUAAUGGCUCACCAAGGCGAUGACGGGUAGCCGGCCUGAGAGGGCGACCGGCCACACUGGGACUGAGACACGGCCCAGACUCCUACGGGAGGCAGCAGUGGGGAAUCUUGCGCAAUGGGCGGAAGCCUGACGCAGCGACGCCGCGUGGGGGAUGAAGGCCUUCGGGUUGUAAACCUCUUUCAGCAGGGACGAAGGUGACGUGUACCUGCAGAAGAAGCGCCGGCUAACUACGUGCCAGCAGCCGCGGUAAUACGUAGGGCGCGAGCGUUGUCCGGAAUUAUUGGGCGUAAAGAGCUCGUAGGCGGCUGGUCGCGUC